rnacentral:sRNA from 1 species
UAUUAAUAAUGAUAAUUAUUUAUUAUUGUUUUAUAAUAAUAAUUAAUUAAAUUAUUACUUAAAUGGGUUAACCCAUUUAACAACUCAACCCAUCAAAUUAAAUGAGUUAUGGGUUGAUCCAACCCAUUUAACAAAAUGAGUUGGGUCAACCCAUAACUCAUUUAAUUUUAAACUCAUUUGAUUAUGAGUUGAGUUGAGUUGGGUUACCCAUUUUGACACCCUAUGAUUUAUAAUGAAAUGAAUUACAGUAAAAAUUAU